rnacentral:rRNA from 1 species
CGUUCCCGGGUCUUGUACACACCGCCCGUCACACCAUGGGAGCGGGUUUUACCAGAAGUAGGUAGCUUAACCGCAAGGAGGGCGCUUACCACGGUACGGAUUCGUGACUGGGGUG